GUUCUUUCCCAGCAGGGGAUAUACAGUAAUCAGGAAGGCGGUUCACCCAGGGCGAGGCUCAGCCAUUGCACUCCAGCUGUGCUGACCCAUGCAAGGUUUCCCAAAUGUGGGAAAUAUGGGAAUGUCUCAUUUCUGCCCAC
ensembl:snRNA U1 U1 spliceosomal RNA